AUUGAACGCUGGCGGCAGGCCUAACACAUGCAAGUCGAGCGGAUGAAGGGAGCUUGCUCCUGGAUUCAGCGGCGGACGGGUGAGUAAUGCCUAGGAAUCUGCCUGGUAGUGGGGGAUAACGUCCGGAAACGGGCGCUAAUACCGCAUACGUCCUGAGGGAGAAAGUGGGGGAUCUUCGGACCUCACGCUAUCAGAUGAGCCUAGGUCGGAUUAGCUAGUUGGUGGGGUAAAGGCCUACCAAGGCGACGAUCCGUAACUGGUCUGAGAGGAUGAUCAGUCACACUGGAACUGAGACACGGUCCGGACUCCUACGGGAGGCAGCAGUGGGGAAUAUUGGACAAUGGGCGAAAGCCUGAUCCAGCCAUGCCGCGUGUGUGAAGAAGGUCUUCGGAUUGUAAAGCACUUUAAGUUGGGAGGAAGGGCAGUAAGUUAAUACCUUGCUGUUUUGACGUUACCAACAGAAUAAGCACCGGCUAACUUCGU
rnacentral:rRNA from 1 species